GAUGAACGCUGGCGGCGUGCCUAAUACAUGCAAGUCGAGCGAACAGAUGAGGAGCUUGCUCCUCUGACGUUAGCGGCGGACGGGUGAGUAACACGUGGAUAACCUACCUAUAAGACUGGGAUAACUUCGGGAAACCGGAGCUAAUACCGGAUAAUAUAUUGAACCGCAUGGUUCAAUAGUGAAAGACGGUUCUGCUGUCGCUUAUAGAUGGAUCCGCGCCGCAUUAGCUAGUUGGUAAGGUAACGGCUUACCAAGGCAACGAUGCGUAGCCGACCUGAGAGGGUGAUCGGCCACACUGGAACUGAGACACGGUCCAGACUCCUACGGGAGGCAGCAGUAGGGAAUCUUCCGCAAUGGGCGAAAGCCUGACGGAGCAACGCCGCGUGAGUGAUGAAGGUCUUCGGAUCGUAAAACUCUGUUAUUAGGGAAGAACAAAUGUGUAAGUAACUAUGCACGUCUUGACGGUACCUAAUCAGAAAGCCACGGCUAACUACGUG
rnacentral:rRNA from 1 species